GGGCGUAUAGCUCAGCGGUAGAGCACCUCCCUUACAAGGAGGUGGUCGCAGGUUCGAUCCCUGCUGCGCCCA
rnacentral:tRNA from 3 species